GAGGCCUUUCCUUUAAGGGUGUAGGAGUGCAGUUGCUGGUGGCAGUUUUGAGAGGAGCCUGUCUAAAAAUGAAACCAGCGCAGGCGCUCCUGAAUGGCCGCGAGGAGAGCAGUGUCCUUGCCCGUCUGCUGUGAGGGGACCGCGGUCUCACAGGCGUCGCGAUGCGGCCAUCAGCCCACAUCCCAUCAGCCAGUGAGCCCCACACACGGGGCAGACCCCGUGCCCUGAAGUGUCUCCUCGCCGGAGAUUCCCUGCAAAUCCCCCGAGUGAGCAGCGCCCCGGAAGAAUGGAGCUCCUCGUCCCUGCCUGCAGGAUGGGAGAGGACUCCGUGUGCUGUGUCCCCUGUGUGCCCGCCAGACCCACCUCACCACCUCCCCUGCUCUGUGCCCAGAGACCCUGCAGGGGUCCUGCUCCUCUGCUGGGAAGAUCUCAUGUGGUCAAGCUAAGGUACUUUGAAUGAUGUUGGUGCCAGGGGUACUUUCUUCCCAGGGGUGUUUGGACUCAACAGGAAGCCCAUGACUAGGGAAGAUGAUCAUACAGUUCACUGAUCUCAAAUCCCUGCCAUCAGAUGGAUGAGGACAAUGACACUCGAAGAUGGGACACCUCAUAAAUAUGUGUAACCCCAACCCCCAAAUCCCACCUCUAGGAAUUUGACCCUUGGAAACUUACAGAUGUACAUGGAGAGCUUUUUCAUGUAGGAUGUGCUUAUGAUAGCUAACACUGGAUAUAAUCACAUGAUAUAAUCAUGUGUCGCCACAGGAAUUGGGUAACAUUAUGUAUGGUUCAUCAAUUCAGUGGGAAAGUAGUGGCAAUGAUCCAACAACUGAGAAUCAUUGUGUAGAACAUAUGAAAGGCAAGGGAAAAUUUUGUCACAUGGAAGUAAUAUAAUCAGAAAAUUCUAGAACAGAGUGUGUAGUAUGCCCUCCCUUUUGUAGGAAAAAUACAAACAUAUAAACACAUGUUUGACAGAAGUUAUUUUUGGUGGUGGCAUUAUGAGUGGUUUUUCUCUCUUCCUUUUUAUUUAUCUAUACUAUCUAUAAUGAACAUGUAUAAUUUUUCUGAGAGAAAGAAAAUAUUCUUAACAUGAGGGUUAGCAUUGUGUUGCCCACAGGACUGGAUGAUAUCUAAGGACAAGGAGAUCAUGACCUUUUGUGGCUUUAAAUAUUGGACAUUAACGGUGUCUAAACAAGAGCUGAAAUCACUGGCAGAAGGUCAGGAUUUCUUUUGCCUUUGAGAUCCUUGAGAGUUAGCUGUUGAUUGAAAAGGUCUUUGAUUUUGGCAGUCCAGUUAUGCCUUCCUGAGCUAAUAAGGACAUCCUCUUGAUUGAGUGCAUGUGAAGCUUCCCCAUCACACUACAUCAGUCAGCAAUUGCUGUGUAACAAACAACCACAAAUCUGAGUGACAUACAAUAAGAAGCCUGUGUCUCUCAUACAUUUGCAGGUUAGCUGGGAAGUUCUAAGCUGCAGGUUUGGGCUAUAAGCAGCAUCUUCCCAUGACAAAGGCAGAGGCACCCCUGCCCACAUUUCACAGGAUGAAAGAAGUGACGGGCCAAGUCCAAUGUCAAGAGGUCCGGAGGUUCACUUUGUCUUUUGUGAGAGAAAACCAGAGUCACGUGGCGAGGUGCCUGGGUACAGGGAGAGGUAACGAGUAGAACCCACCAUCUGGCAUCCACGAAUGGUUGCUUUGGUCAGGUCAUGCUGUGAGUUGGCUGAACACACUGUGGACAUGUUUAAAAUAACAUUAUUCCUCCACUGAUUAAUUCUUUUCAAAGUAUAAUACGAAUGGAAGGAGAUUAAAGUUACUGUAAUUCCAUUACCUACAGAUGGCCUUUUAAGAUUUUGCUGCAUUUCCUUGAAGGAUACACAUCCGUCUGCACACUCAAAUAAACAUCAGCAUAUAUUUAUAUAACAAAAGUAGCAUCACAUUUUAUUUGUUUUUUACCCUGCCUUUUUUUUUUCAACCUAAUCUC